GUUUGAUUCUGGCUCAGAUUGAACGCUGGCGGGAUGCUUUACAUGCAAGUCGAACAGCAGCACGGACUUCAGUCUGGUGGCGAGUGGCGAACGGGUGAGUAAUGUAUCGGGUGCCUAGUAGCGGGGGGAUAACUACGCGAAAGCGUAGCUAAUGCCGCAUACGCCCUUCGGGGGAAAGCAGGGCCUUACGAGCUCCGCACUAUUAAACGACCGAUAUGGGAUAGCUAGUUGGUGGGGUAACGGCUCGCAAGGCGACGAUCAGCUGGUUUGAGAGGACGACCAGCCACACUGGGACUGAGACCUGGCCCAGACUCCUACAGGCAGCAGUGGGGAAUUUUGGACAAUGGAAACCUGAUCCAGCCAUCCCGCUGUGUGCGAUGAAGGCCUUCCGGGUUGUAAGCACUUUUAUGGCGGAAAAACAGCACGGGAUAAUACCCCGUGCAACUGACGGUACCUGCAGAAUAAAGCACCCGAGCUAAGCUUCAUUACCGGCAGCCGCGGUAAUGCAGCUAAGUUGCAGCGGCAAUCGGAAUUACUGGGCGUAAAGCGUGCGCAGGCGGUUCGGAAAGAAGAAGAUCUUGAAAUCCCAGAGCUUAACUUUGGAACUGCAUCUUUAACUACCGAGCUAGAGAGUGUCAGAGGGAGGUGGAAUUCCCGCGUGUAGCAGUGAAAGUGCGUAGAUAUGCGGAGAGACACCGAUGGCGAAGGCGGCCUCCUGGGAUAACACUGACGCUCAUACACGAAAGCGUGGGGAGCAAACAGGAUUAGAUACCCUGGUAGUCCACGCCCUAAACGAUGUCAACUAGCUGUUGGGGCCUUCGGGCCUUGGUAGCGCAAUAACAUAUGAGUUGACCUACUGGGAAGUACGGUCGCCAAGAUUAGAACUCAAAGGAAUUGACGGGGACGCACAAGCGGUGGAUGAUGUGGAUUAAUUCGAUGCAACGCGAAAAACCUUACCUACUAUGACAUGUCUGGAAUCCCGAAUUUGGGAGUGCUCGCAAGAGAACCGGAACACAGGUGCUGCAUGGCUGUCGUCAGCUCGUGUCGUGAGAUGUUGGGUUAAGUCCCGCAACGAGCGCAACCCUUGUCAUUGAACUGCUGCGAAAGGGCACUCUAAUGGGGCUGCCGGUGACAAACCGGAGGAAGGUGGGGAUGACGUCAAGUCCUCGCGGCCCACUUAUGGGUGCAGACUUCUUAAUCAUACAAUGGUCGGGACAGAGGGUCGCCAACCCGCAGGGGGCCGUCAAAGCUGAUGUGGUCCGGAUCAGUCUGCAACUCGACUGCGUACAGUCAGAAUCGCUAGUAAUCGCGGAUCAGCGUAAUAAAGUACGAUACGUUCCCGGGUCUUGUACACCGCCCGUCACACCAUGGGGUAGGUUUUGCAAGUAAUUAGCCCUAACCGUAAGGAGGGCGAUUACCACGGUAAAUUCAUGACUGG
rnacentral:rRNA from 1 species